rnacentral:rRNA from 1 species
GUCGAACGCCCCGCAAGGGGAGUGGCAGACGGGUGAGUAACGCGUGGGAACAUACCCUUUCCUGCGGAAUAGCUCCGGGAAACUGGAAUUAAUACCGCAUACGCCCUACGGGGGAAAGAUUUAUCGGGGAAGGAUUGGCCCGCGUUGGAUUAGCUAGUUGGUGGGGUAAAGGCCUACCAAGGCGACGAUCCAUAGCUGGUCUGAGAGGAUGAUCAGCCACAUUGGGACUGAGACACGGCCCAAACUCCUACGGGAGGCAGCAGUGGGGAAUAUUGGACAAUGGGCGCAAGCCUGAUCCAGCCAUGCCGCGUGAGUGAUGAAGGCCUUAGGGUUGUAAAGCUCUUUCACCGGAGAAGAUAAUGACGGUAUCCGGAGAAGAAGCCCCGGCUAACUUCGUGCCAGCAGCCGCGGUAAUACGAAGGGGGCUAGCGUUGUUCGGAAUUACUGGGCGUAAAGCGCACGUAGGCGGAUAUUUAAGUCAGGGGUGAAAUCCCAGAGCUCAACUCUGGAACUGCCUUUGAUACUGGGUAUCUUGAGUAUGGAAGAGGUAAGUGGAAUUCCGAGUGUAGAGGUGAAAUUCGUAGAUAUUCGGAGGAACACCAGUGGCGAAGGCGGCUUACUGGUCCAUUACUGACGCUGA